CUUGCAUUCUUAAACCCUCUUGGCGGCUU
rnacentral:piRNA from 1 species